GCCGAUCUGUGUAAGCCCAAGUG
rnacentral:siRNA from 1 species